rnacentral:rRNA from 1 species
AUUGAACGCUGGCGGCAUGCCUUACACAUGCAAGUCGAACGGCAGCACGGGAGCAAUCCUGGUGGCGAGUGGCGAACGGGUGAGUAAAGUAUCGGAACGUGCCCAGUCGUGGGGGAUGACGUAGCGAAAGUUACGCUAAUACCGCAUACGAUCUAUGGAUGAAAGGGGGGGAUCGCAAGACCUCGCGCGAUUGGAGCGGGCGAUAGCAGAUUAGGUAGUUGGUGGGGUAAAGGCUCACCAAGCCGACGAUCUGUAGCUGGUCUGGGAGGACGACCAGCCACACUGGGACUGAGACACGGCCCAGACUCCUACGGGAGGCAGCAGUGGGGAAUUUUGGACAAUGGGCGAAAGCCUGAUCCAGCCAUGCCGCGUGCAGGAUGAAGGCCUUCGGGUUGUAAACUGCUUUUGUACGGAACGAAAAGGUUUGGCCUAAUAAGCUGAGCUCAUGGCGGUACCGUAAGAAUAAGCACCGGCUAACUACGUGCCAGCAGCCGCCGUAA